AACGAACGCUGGCGGCAGGCUUAACACAUGCAAGUCGAGCGCCCCGCAAGGGGAGCGGCAGACGGGUGAGUAACACGUGAGAAUCUACCCAUCUCUACGGAACAACUCCGGGAAACUGGAGCUAAUACCGUAUACGCCCUACGGGGGAAAGAUUUAUCGGAGAUGGAUGAGCCCGCGUUGGAUUAGCUAGUUGGUGGGGUAAUGGCCUACCAAGGCGACGAUCCAUAGCUGGUCUGAGAGGAUGAUCAGCCACACUGGGACUGAGACACGGCCCAGACUCCUACGGGAGGCAGCAGUGGGGAAUAUUGGACAAUGGGCGAAAGCCUGAUCCAGCCAUGCCGCGUGAGUGAUGAAGGCCCUAGGGUUGUAAAGCUCUUUCACCGGUGAAGAUAAUGACGGUAACCGGAGAAGAAGCCCCGGCUAACUUCGUGCCAGCCGCCGCAGUAAAAC
rnacentral:rRNA from 1 species